AAAUUGAAGAGUUUGAUCAUGGCUCAGAUUGAACGCUGGCGGCAGGCCUAACACAUGCAAGUCGAGCGGUAACAUUUCAAAAGCUUGCUUUUGAAGAUG
rnacentral:rRNA from 1 species